rnacentral:rRNA from 1 species
GACGAACGCUGGCGGCGUGCUUAACACAUGCAAGUCGAACGGAAAGGCCCUGCUUUUGUGGGGUGCUCGAGUGGCGAACGGGUGAGUAACACGUGAGUAACCUGCCCUUGACUUUGGGAUAACUUCAGGAAACUGGGGCUAAUACCGGAUAGGAGCUCCUGCUGCAUGGUGGGGGUUGGAAAGUUUCGGCGGUGGGGGCUGGACUCGCCGCUGAUCAGCCUGUGGGUGGGGCAGUGGCUUACCAAGGCUUUGCCCGCCAGCCGGCCUGAGAGGGUGAGCGGCCACAGUGGGACGGAGAUGCGGCCCAGACUCCUACGGGAGGCAGCAGUGGGGAAUAUUGCACAAUGGGCGGAAGCCUGAUGCAGCAACGCCGCGUGCGGGAUGACGGCCUUCGGGUUGUAAACCGCUUUCGCCUGUGACGAAGCGUGAGUGACGGUAAUGGGUAAAGAAGCACCGGCUAACUACGUG